rnacentral:snoRNA from 1 species
CCUGAUCAGGGAUGAUACCUUUUUUUAUGGUGACUGCUGGAUGACACUUGCGGAUAUGGGACUGAGAUCUGAA